AGGACUGCCUGAGCUCCCAGACAGACCCCAGAAUUGUGAUCGCUGGCGGGGUACCGCCAGCGAUCAGGUAAGUACGUCUGCGGUGGUACCGGACUUUUUUGUCGGACGUGCCUGGUACGUCCAUGGUCGGGAAGGGGUUAAAUGCAUGCAUGUUUUAUUUUGGGGUAUAUCUACUAAAUUGUGAUUAUUUAUUUCGCAUUUGGGAAGUAGAACACCACAAGAUUGUCUCAUGGCACUCCCAGUAGCCGAAGAGACCAGCAGCAUUAACAUUUAAAAUAUGCAAAGGCCUCCGAAAUUAACAGAUCCACUUGAAAUCUGCAAUGUAAACGUUGCAGAUUCUAAAAUCUUAGGACUACUGCACUGAGAUAGUGAUAAUAUAAACAAGGAG